rnacentral:rRNA from 1 species
GACAGAGGGUGCAAACGUUGUUCGGAAUUACUGGGCGUAAAGCGCGUGUAGGCUGCUCAGAAAGUCGGAUGUGAAAGCCCUGGGCUUAACCCAGGAAGUGCAUUCGAAACUUCUGAGCUUGAGUUCUGGAGAGGAAGGCGGAAUUCUCGGUGUAGAGGUGAAAUUCGUAGAUAUCGAGAGGAACACCGGUGGCGAAGGCGGCCUUCUGGACAGUGACUGACGCUGAGACGCGAAAGCGUGGGGAGCGAACCGG